GAAAUCAAUUUCUUCCAACCUCACUUCUCUAUAAGUGCCGACCUUCUCUUCUCCUCCCCCUCAUGCACAUCAAGCUCAGUGCUCUUCUCUUACUAUCAUCACUCUGAGCAAAUCAUGGAGAGCAAGUCACUUGUUGCCGUCUUUUCCAUUCUCAUCCUUCUCUUCACUGCUCAAGAAAUGGUGGUGAAGACGGAGGGGAAGACAUGCGAGAAGCCGAGCAAGUUCUUCUCGGGAGGAUGCAUUGGGACGACCGCAACAAACAGUGCGACUAUCUCUGCAGGAGAGGCGAAGGACUGCUCAGUGGCGCCUGCAAGGGCCUCAAGUGUGUCUGCACCAAAUCCUGCUGAUCAUAACCUCUUCAUCAUAUGGCAUGUAUGUGUAUCAUCAUACUUAAAUAAUUCACACACACACACACACACACACACACACACACACAGAGGUCCGUACAUAGUUAACGACGUGUUUGAUGAAAUAAGCUCUCAUUUCGGCUAUCUCUGAUCUUCUGUGGGGACAGUUGAAAUAGGUUGCAGAUGCAUGAGAAUGCUAGCUAGCUUACCCGCUGGCCUUUAUAUGCUCUCUAGCUCUCACUGUGUAAUACAGUUUAUAUUUUGAAGCCGCCCUUUCUUAAUUA